rnacentral:rRNA from 1 species
CGCCUGCCCUGUGACAAAAGUUUAACGGCCGCGGUAUUUUGACCGUGCAAAGGUAGCGCAAUCACUUGUCUUUUAAAUGAAGACCUGUAUGAAUGGCAUCACGAGGGCUUAACUGUCUCCUUUUUCCAGUCAAUGAAAUUGAUCUCCCCGUGCAGAAGCGGGGAUUCAACCAUAAGACGAGAAGACCCUAUGAAGCUUUAGACACAAGACAGAUCUUGUCAAACACUUCAACUUAAAGAAAUAAACUAAAAGAACCCUGCCCUAAUGUCUUUGGUUGGGGCGACCACGGGGAAAUAAAAAACCCCCACGCGGAUUAAGAGAACAUCUCUCACAACCAAGAGCCACAGCUCUAACUAACAGAACCUCUGACCUUAAGAUCCGGCAAUGCCGAUCAACGAACCGAAUUACUCUAGGGAUAACAGCGCAAUCCCCUUUUAGAGUUCAUAUCGACAAGGGGGUUUACGACCUCGAUGUUGGAUCAGGACAUCCUAAUGGUGCAGCAACUAUUAAGGGUUCGUUUGUUCAACGAUUAAAGUCCU